UAUACCGUGAAACUGCGAAUGGCUCAUUAAAUCAGUUAUCGUUUAUUUGAUAAUACCUUACUACUUGGAUAACCGUGGUAAUUCUAGAGCUAAUACAUGCUGAAAAUCCCGACUUCGGAAGGGAUGUGUUUAUUAGAUAAAAAACCAAUGCCCUUCGGGGCUUUUUGGUGAUUCAUGAUAACUUUACGGAUCGCAUAGCCUUGCGCUGGCGACGGUUCAUUCAAAUUUCUGCCCUAUCAACUUUCGAUGGUAAGGUAUUGGCUUACCAUGGUUUCAACGGGUAACGGGGAAUUAGGGUUCGAUUCCGGAGAGGGAGCCUGAGAAACGGCUACCACAUCCAAGGAAGGCAGCAGGCGCGCAAAUUACCCAAUCCCGACACGGGGAGGUAGUGACAAUAAAUACUGAUACAGGGCUCUUUUGGGUCUUGUAAUUGGAAUGAGUACAAUUUAAACCUCUUAACGAGGAACAAUUGGAGGGCAAGUCUGGUGCCAGCAGCCGCGGUAAUUCCAGCUCCAAUAGCGUAUAUUAAAGUUGUUGCAGUUAAAAAGCUCGUAGUUGAAACUUGGGCCUGGCUGGCGGGUCCGCCUCACCGCGUGCACUCGUCCGGCCGGGCCUUCCUUCUGAAGAACCUCAUGCCCUUCACUGGGCGUGCUGGGGAAUCAGGACUUUUACUUUGAAAAAAUUAGAGUGUUCAAAGCAGGCCUUUGCUCGAAUACGUUAGCAUGGAAUAAUAAAAUAGGGCGUGCGUUUCUAUUUUGUUGGUUUCUAGAGACGCCGCAAUGAUUAACAGGAACAGUCGGGGGCAUCAGUAUUCAGUUGUCAGAGGUGAAAUUCUUGGAUUUACUGAAGACUAACUACUGCGAAAGCAUUUGCCAAGGAUGUUUUCAUUAAUCAGUGAACGAAAGUUAGGGGAUCGAAGACGAUCAGAUACCGUCGUAGUCUUAACCGUAAACUAUGCCGACUAGGGAUCGGGCGAUGUUCUUUUUCUGACUCGCUCGGCACCUUACGAGAAAUCAAAGU
rnacentral:rRNA from 51 species